rnacentral:rRNA from 1 species
ACGGAGGGCGCAAGCGUUAAUCGGAAUCACUGGGCGUAAAGCGCGCGUAGGCGGUUUGAUAAGUCAGGCGUGAAAGCCCUCGGCUCAACCGGGGAACUGCGUUUGAUACUGUCUAACUUGAGUGCCGGAGAGGGUGGCGGAAUUCCAGGUGUAGGAGUGAAAUCCGUAGAUAUCUGGAGGAACACCGGUGGCGAAGGCGGCCACCUGGACGGCAACUGACGCUGAGGCGCGAAGGCGUGGGUAGCAAACAG